AUUGAACGCUGGCGGCAGGCUUAACACAUGCAAGUCGAACGAGUGGCGGACGGGAGAGUAAUGUGUGGGAAUCUAGCUUAUGGAGGGGGAUAACUACGGGAAACUGUAGCUAAUACCGCGUACCAUAGGAAGAGCCCAAGUGGGAUUAGGUAGUUGGUGUGGUAAAGGAUCACAAAGACGAAGAUCUCGAGCUGGUAUGAGAGGAUGCCCAGCCACACUGGGACUGAGACACGGCCCCGUCGCCUACGGGACGCAGCAGUGGGGACUAUUGCACAAUGGGGGCAACCUGACGCAGCCAUGCCGCGUGAAUGAAGAAGGCCUUCGGGUUGUAAAGUUCUUUCGGUAGCGAGGCGUUAACUACAGAAGAAGCACCGGCUAACUCCGUGCCAGCAGCCGCGGUAAUUG
rnacentral:rRNA from 1 species